rnacentral:rRNA from 1 species
AUUGCACGCUGGCGGCAGGCCUAACACAUGCAAGUCGAACGAGCGGCGGACGGGUGAGUAAUGUCUGGGAAACUGCCUGAUGGAGGGGGAUAACUACUGGAAACGGUAGCUAAUACCGCAUACCAUCAGAUGUGCCCAGAUGGGAUUAGCUAGUUGGUGGGGUAAUGGCUCACCAAGGCGACGAUCCCUAGCUGGUCUGAGCGGAUGACAAGCCAAUCUGGAACUGAGCCACGGUCCAGACUCCUACGGUAGGCAGCAGUGGGGAAUAUUGCACAAUGGGCGCAAGCCUGAUGCAGCCAUGCCGCGUGUAUGAAGAAGGCCUGCGGGUUGUAAAGUACUUUCAGCGGGGAGGCGUUACUCGCAGAAGAAGCACCGGCUAACUCCGUGCCAGCAGCCGCGGUAAUUC